rnacentral:piRNA from 1 species
UCCAGUGCAAUGGAUCCAUAGAUCCGUGGU